GUCAGGAUGGCCGAGUGGUCUAAGGCGCCAGACUCAAGCUCCAGAUGGAGGCGUGGGUUCAAAUCCCACUUUUGACA